AUUGAACGCUGGCGGCAGGCUUAACACAUGCAAGUCGAGCGGAGAUGAGGUGCUUGCACCUUAUCUUAGCGGCGGACGGGUGAGUAAUGCUUAGGAAUCUGCCUAUUAGUGGGGGACAACAUUCCGAAAGGAAUGCUAAUACCGCAUACGCCCUACGGGGGAAAGCAGGGGAUCUUCGGACCUUGCGCUAAUAGAUGAGCCUAAGUCGGAUUAGCUAGUUGGGGGGGUAAAGGCCUACCAAGGCGACGAUCUGUAGCGGGUCUGAGAGGAUGAUCCGCCACACUGGGACUGAGACGCGGCCCAGACUCCUACGGGAGGCAGCAGUGGGGAAUAUUGGACAAUGGGCGGAAGCCUGAUCCAGCCAUGCCGCGUGUGUGGAGAAGGCCUUUCGGUUGUAAAGCACUUUAAGCGAGGAGGAGGCUACCUGGAUUAAUACUCUAGGAUAGUGGACGUUACUCGCAGAAUAAGCACCGGCUAACUCUGUGCCAGCCGCCGCAGUAA
rnacentral:rRNA from 1 species